GCAGUUUCUGGAAAAACUGCAAUAAUUACCAUUGCCGGGUUAAGGGACCUCGGAAAUUGCACUCAGACCACGUCAUGAGCUGAAGUGGUCUGGGUGCAUAUAGUGUCCCAUUAAAUGUAAUGAAUAUAGUGACAUAAUACAUACGCCCUGAUACAGGCCUGACACUCUCCCAAACACAAAGCUACGAGUCAGUUUAAUAUGUUUUCUAAUGGAACAGUUAUUAGAAAUAAUGCGUGUGUCCAAAACUACAUGAGCAUUCAUGCAAUCAGCAUUUUCAACUGAAUAAACGCUUAAGGCUGGUAAAUGCAAUAAGAAAAGGAACCUACAUUAAAUGAAAAUCAUUUAUCAGCCCCCAUAUGUUAACGCUGAGGUUGCAUGUUACUAGAGCAUCAUGAGGGAGUUAGAUUUUAAAAAGAUCAGGGUAGGCAACCUUUGGCACUCCAGAUGUUGUGGACUACAACUCUGCUGAUGCUUUG